rnacentral:lncRNA from 1 species
CUCAAGUGGACUUACCGGCCAGGUUCUUGGUGGGGCUCAAGGUCAUUCCCCAGGCAUUGGCCUGUGCUGAGGUGACUGACUCCAGCCCCAGGAUUCCUGCUGGACGUCAUCUCCUGCCCUGUCAGUCAUUAAAGGUUUCACCUCUACUGCUACUGUCACCAUUGGCUUCGGGCAGAUCCAGCACUAGAUCACGAUCAUCCGUCAUCCAAGGCCAUCACUGAUUCUCCUUUCCCUGGCUUUGAUGUUCCUGGGGGGCAGGAGCUGUUGUGCCCCCGACCGUGGCUGCCCAGCGCUGUGCUUGCUAUGAAGUAGGUCAGAGCUCAGUUGUAUCCUUAAGGCAUCUGUCACUUCUGGAAUCCACUCCAACCACGAGGAGGAGAGUCCCUCCAACGCCUAUGAUAUGGAAUCGUCAGAAAAUUUUAGUUUUUAAAACUGGGAAUCUGGAAGGUUCAGUUCUUCAUGAUUGCACAGUAAUUAUUUAUUAAUAUUUUGUUUUUUCACAAACUGAUGCUUUUGAAAGAGAUAUUGUUAUUGGGCUGUUUGACUUCUGAGGUCAUCUCUUAGGGGUGGAGCAGUAAUAAAUGUGGGUCCACUUUCACAGUCAGGGUGCAGAUCCGUGUGACCCAAACUCUCACACUUCUUUCCA